UCCUCUCAUCCGGGACAUGAGACGAAUGACGUCAAGGCGCCGAAAUAAACAUUGCUCGGCAUGAAAACUAAUGCAGUAUUAUUUUCUGAAAUAAAAGCACAUUGAUGCGUUCUAGUAUUCCGCGCAGCAGUUUGUAACAGAGGUGGAAAAACAACUGUGUGCAGAGAUGCAGGCGGCAGAGGAGGCGCAGUCCUCUCUCGCGGAGCGGGUAGAGUCUAUGGGAGUGAGUGAAGAACAGGA